GCUGAAGCUAGCGAACAAUAACUAGCGAACAAUAAGCCAGCGAACAAUAAGGCGAUAUAUCUAAAAACCGAAAAAAUGAAUAAGACAGCAACGGCCGUCAAAUGAAAAAUAUUUAAAAAGGCAGACAUUCCGUCCAAAUAUUGCAAUUUCAACUCUAUCGUGAAAUGGUAUUUAUCCCAUCCAUUGAUAAAACAAGUCACAUCUCUUUUUAGGCUAAUAUUCAGUACCACAGUAAAUCUGCAUCUGUCAAGGGAUUAUGUGUAGGUGUAAGACCACUAAUGCAUCCACUUCAAUUUAGAACGUAUGUAAAAGUAGUCCUUCCCUGUAAAAUAUAGCACCUUUGAUGUCAUUGUUUAAUUGAACUAAAAUACACAUUUGCAGAAAUGAGGGUUGGACUAUUCCAUGGCUUCUAGAGAAAAAUAAUGAGGGGUGUCACGGGGUAUGACUAUAUAGGUCUUGUAGAAGAGAAACAGGCGCAUCUUUUGCGCAAGGUAUCGAAGAGCGCUAUGUUCAAAAAUCUGAAACUAGAGCUCUAAAUUAAAAAAAAAAAUGUUAAAAACAGGGGGGUUGGCCUAUUCCAUGGCUUCUAGAGAAAAAUAAUGAGGGGUGUCACGGGGUAUGACUAUAUAGGUCUUGUAGAGGAGAAACAGGCGCAUCUUUUGCGCAAGGUAUCCAAGGGCGCUAUGUUCAAAAAUCUGAAACUAGAGCUCAAAAUUAAAAAAAAAAAAUGUUAAAAACAGGGGGGUUGGCCUAUUCCAUGGCUUCUAGAGAAAAAUAAUGAGGGGUGUCACGGGGUAUGACUAUAUAGGUCUUGAAGAGGAGAAACAGGCGCAUCUUUUGCGCAAGGUAUUGAAGGGCGCUAUGUUCAAAAAUCUGACACUAGAGCUCAAAAUUAAAAAAAAAAUGUUAAAAACAGGGAGGUUGGCCUAUUCCAUGGCUUCUAGAGAAAAAUAAUGAGGGGUGUCACGGGGUAUGACUAUAUAAGUCUUGUAGAGGAGAAACAGGCGCAUCUUUUGCGCAAGGUAUCGAAGGGCGCUAUAUUCAAAAAUCUGAAACUAGAGCUCAAAAUUAAAACAAAAAAAUGUUAAAAACAGGGAGGUUGGCCUAUUCCAUGGCUUCUAGAGAAAAAUAAUGAGGGGUGUCACGGGGUAUGACUAUAUAGGUCUUGUAGAGGAGAAACAGGCGCAUCUUUUGCGCAAGGUAUCGAAGGGCGCUAUGUUCAAAAAUCUGACACUAGAGCUCAAAAUUAAAAAAAAAAUGUUAAAAACAGGGAGGUUGGCCUAUUCCAUGGCUUCUAGAGAAAAAUAAUGAGGGGUAUCACGGGGUAUGACUAUAUAAGUCUUGUAGAGGAGAAACAGGCGCAUCUUUUGUGCAAGGUAUCGAAGGGCGCUAUGUUCAAAAAUCUGAAACUAGAGCUCAAAAUUAAAAAAAAAAUGUUAAAAACAGGGGGGUUGGCCUAUUCCAUGGCUUCUAGAGAAAAAUAAUGAGGGGUGUCACGGGGUAUGACUAUAUAGGUCUUGUAGAGGAGAAACAGGCGCAUCUUUUGCGCAAGGUAUCGAAGGGCGCUAUGUUCAAAAAUUUGAAACUAGAGCUCAAAAUUAAAAAAAAAUAUGUUAAAAACAGGGGGUUGGCCUAUUCCAUGGCUUCUAGAGAAAAAAAAUGAGGGGUGUCACGGGGUAUGACUAUAUAGGUCUUGAAGAGGAGAAACAGGCGCAUCUUUUGCGCAAGGUAUCGAAGGGCGCUAUAUUCAAAAAUCUGACACUAGAGCUCAAAAUUAAAAAAAAAAAUGUUAAAAACAGGGAGGUUGGCCUAUUCCAUGGCUUCUAGAGAAAAAUAAUGAGGGUUAUCACGGGGUAUGACUAUAUAAGUCUUGUAGAGGAGAAACAGGCGCAUCUUUUGUGCAAGGUAUCGAAGGGCGCUAUGUUCAAAAAUCUGAAACUAGAGCUCAAAAUUAAAAAAAAAAUGUUAAAAACAGGGGGGUUGGCCUAUUCCAUGGCUUCUAGAGAAAAAUAAUGAGGGGUGUCACGGGGUAUGACUAUAUAGGUCUUGUCGAGGAGAAACAGGCGCAUCUUUUGUGCAAGGUAUCGAAGGGCGCUAUGUUCAAAAAUCUGAAAAUAGAGCUCAAAAUUAAAAAAAAAAAUGUUAAAAACAGGGGGGGUUGGCCUAUUCCAUGGCUUCUAGAGAAAAAUAAUGAGGGGUGUCACGGGGUAUGACUAUAUAGGUCUUGUAGAGGAGAAACAGGCGCAUCUUUUGCGCAAGGUAUCGAAGGGCGCUAUGUUCAAAAAUCUGAAACUAGAGCUCAAAAUUAAAACAAAAAAAUGUUAAAAACAGGGAGGUUGGCCUAUUCCAUGGCUUCUAGAGAAAAAUAAUGAAGGGUGUCACGGGGUAUGAUUAUAUAGGACUUGUAGAGGAGAAACAGGCGCAUCUUUUGCGCAAGGUAUCGAAUGGCGCUAUGUUCAAAAAUCUGAAACUAGAGCUCAAAAUCUUAAAAAAAAUGUUAAAAACAGGGGGUUGGCCUAUCCCAUGGCUUCUAGAGAAAAAUAAUGAGGGGUGUCACGGGGUAUGACUAUAUAGGUCUUGAAGAGGAGAAACAGGCGCAUCUUUUGCGCAAGGUAUCGAAGGGCGCUAUGUUCAAAAAUCUGACACUAGAGCUCAAAAUUAAAAAAAAAAAUGUCAAAAACAGGGAGGUUGGCCUAUUCCAUGGCUUCUAGAGAAAAAUAAUGAGGGGUGUCACGGGGUAUGACUAUAUAAGUCUUGUAGAGGAGAAACAGGCGCAUCUUUUGCGCAAGGUAUCGAAGGGCGCUAUGUUCAAAAAUCUGAAACUAGAGCUCAAAAUUAAAACAAAAAAUUGUUAAAAACAGGGGGGUUGGCCUAUUCCAUGGCUUCUAGAGAAAAAUAAUGAGGGGUGUCACGGGGUAUGACUAUAUAGGUCUUGUUGAGGAGAAACAGGCGCAUCUUUUGUGCAAGGUAUCGAAGGGCGCUAUGUUCAAAAAUCUGAAACUAGAGCCAAAAUUUAAAAAAAAAAUGUUAAAAACAAGGGGGUUGGUCUAUUCCAUGGCUUCUAGAGAAAAAUAAUGAGGGGUGUCACGGGAUAUGACUAUAUAGGUCUUGUAGAGGAGAAACAGGCGCAUCUUUUGCGCAAGGUAUCGAAGGGCGCUAUGUUCAAAAAUCUGAAACUAGAGCUCAAAAUUUAAAAAAAAAUGUUAAAAACAGGGGGGUUGGCCUAUUCCAUGGCUUCUAGAGAAAAAUAAUGAGGGGUGUCAUGGGGUAUGACUAUAUAGGUCUUGUAGAGGAGACACAGGCGCAUCUUUUGUGCAAGGUAUCGAAUGGCGCUAUGUUCAAAAAUCUGAAACUAGAGCUCAAAAUUUGAAAAAAAAGUGGUUAAAAACAGGGGAGUUGGUCUAUUUCAUGGCUUCUAGAGAAAAAUAAUGAGGGGUGUCACGGGGUAUGACUAUAUAGGUCUUGUAGAGGAGAAACAGGCGCAUCUUUUGCGCAAGGUAUCGAAGGGCGCUAUGUUAAAAAAUCUGAAACUAGAGCUCAAAAUUUGAAAAAAAAUGGAAAAAAACAGAGGGGGUUGGCCUAUUGGUGUAAUACCUCCAUUGAUUUUCAUUUAUUAUUUUUUUUUAAAUUUGCAGUUUUCCAAAAAAAUGUGGAGAAUUUAUCUUUGUUUCAAAUUAAAAAAUUAACAUAACAUUUCAUUGCAUAUAAGAAAAUAACUUUCACUGUCAGUUAACCAAUCAAAUUUGCCCCUUAUUUAACCUGUGUAUAAGCUUUAGUAACCAUGCAACCUCAAGUUUCCAAAAUAUUCUAUAGAAACCCCAAAUAAAACAAUAAUGAUUCUUUGAAAUACCCAAGAUACAUGUAUAUGUUUAUGACCCAGAAAUGUUUGACUGCAAUAAAAUGAUGGAUUAAUUACCUACAACUGUCAAAUUUAAGGGAAUAUUUUUUUCGACCUAUUUUUGUAUGCAACCGGAUGUGACAUGCCAUGAUUUGGUGGUAUUACACCUGAAGAAGACAUUUUUAUUUAAUAAACUGAAAGAUUUUUUCCUUUGUAAUACUGUUUUUUUCAAGCAUUCCUGUCAUGUUUUGUCAUAAUCAGUUCAAUAGUUGGAGAAAAAUCUAGUAUAAUGUACGACGACAUCUUCAGCGAUUCGUGCAGAAUUUUUUUCGAAAAAUCCAAACCAAGCCGCAUCAUGAUAGAAUGUAGUGUGGACCAAUAAUGAUUAAAUAUUUAUGUCAUCUGCCUACAAACAGUUGAAUAUGAUACAAAAGAUGACUUAAGGAUGAUAAAUACCACUACUGGACCCCUUUGUCUUCUUUAUAAGGUCUCUUUUGGUCCAUUUAUACAUGUCAUUUCCUCAAAAUUUCAACUUUUCAGGCCAAUAAAUAAAAAUAAUGAAGUAACUUUCACUCAUUUAUGAUAGAAAUGUUAUAAUAAAUUACAUUUAGUAAUUGAAGUAUUCAAGCAGAAUGAACAAUCCAUAUAAAAGUUUACUGGAGGUUUUAAUAAGUCCUUACGUAAAACUUAAAUUUACGCUGCGUUCCAGAG